rnacentral:rRNA from 1 species
CACGUAGGGUGCGAGCGUUGUCCGGAAUUAUUGGGCGUAAAGAGCUCGUAGGCGGUGUGUCGCGUCGGCCGUGAAAACUUGCAGCUUAACUGUGGGCUUGCGGUCGAUACGGGCAUCACUGGAGUUCGGCAGGGGAGACUGGAAUUCCUGGUGUAGCGGUGAAAUGCGCAGAUAUCAGGAGGAACACCGGUGGCGAAGGCGGGUCUCUGGGCCGAUACUGACGCUGAGGAGCGAAAGCGUGGGGAUCAAACAGG